AGUAUGACUUGUAUUCAGUUAUAUUGCUAUGCAUUUUCUUGAUCUUAUUGAGUGUUUCUGCUGCUCUCUUGGCAUGUGAAAAUGAAACGUUGUGUCUUAUAUAUCUGAUUUCCCACCUGUAAAUAAAUGCUUGCAUAACACAGGUUAAUGUAAAAGGCUGAAUGAAUAAUGUAACAUUUUCAUGGUUUUGCCUCACCUAUUUCAGCAUUUUACCAUCAUAAUUUUCCCAUCAGUUUCUUAUUCUAGUGUUUUCUCUUGCAAAUAUUUGUCAAAUUCUCCUAAGCUUUAUAAAUGCCAAGUCAUUUAGUUGGACAAGUGGUAAAUAGAAAAAUUAAUAUAAAAUGAAUUGUGGUGUAUUUGUAGACACUACUUCACAACAUGUAGCUGAGAAAUGUUAAGUGUAGUGUUUAUUUGAGAUGCCAUGUUUGUCUCUUGGCUUUCUUGCAUGAGAUUUUGAAAUGGAUUUUAAUCAUUGUUGUGAACACUAAUUUGGUUCUGUGGUUUCUUGAUCUACACAAACUAUUGAAUCGUUAAAUUGGAUUGCAGCAUUAUACCUGAACUAAUAUUUGCUUGCAUAUUCUUCCAUUCUGCUGUAAUACAAACUGAUCCUGCUAUCCUUGAUUCCUUGUAUGGAGAGAUAAAACGGUGGCAGGUGCAGCCAAUGAGUGGGUCAAGGAAAUUAAGUGUCAAAGCAUCUAUUGAGAGGUACAA